rnacentral:misc_RNA from 1 species
GAAAUGCGAUAAGUAGUGUGAAUUGCAGAAUUCAGUGAAUCAUCGAAUCUUUGAACGCACAUUGCGCCCUUUGGUAUUCCAAAGGGCAUGCCUGUUCGAGCGUCAUUUGUACCCUCAAGCUGUGGUUGGUGUUGGGCGUCUUGUCUCCAGUUCGCUGGGGACUCGCCUUAAAGUUAUUGGCAGCCGGCCUACUGGUUUCGGAGCGCAGCACAAGUCGCGCUCUCUUCCAGCCAAGGUCAGCAUCCACAAAGCCUUUUUUCAACUUUUGACCUCGGAUCAGGUAGGGAUACCCGCUGAACUUAAGC